CCUACGGGGGGCAGCAGUGAGGAAUAUUGGUCAAUGGACGCAAGUCUGAACCAGCCAUGCCGCGUGCAGGAUGACGGUCCUAUGGAUUGUAAACUGCUUUUGUACGAGAAGAAACACUACUUCGUGAAGUAGCUUGACGGUAUCGUAAGAAUAAGGAUCGGCUAACUCCGUGCCAGCAGCCGCGGUAAUACGGAGGAUCCAAGCGUUAUCCGGAAUCAUUGGGUUUAAAGGGUCCGUAGGCGGUCUUAUAAGUCAGUGGUGAAAUCUCCCCGCUCAACGGGGAAACUGCCAUUGAUACUGUAGGACUUGAAUAAUUAGGAAGUAACUAGAAUAUGUAGUGUAGCGGUGAAAUGCUUAGAGAUUACAUGGAAUACCAAUUGCGAAGGCAGGUUACUACUAAUUCAUUGACGCUGAUGGACGAAAGCGUGGGUAGCGAACA
rnacentral:rRNA from 1 species